GCUGAUGUAGCACAGCAGGUAGUGCAGUUGAUUCGUAAUCAACAGGUCGCCGGUUCGAGUCCGGCCAUCAGCUCCA
rnacentral:tRNA from 1 species